rnacentral:rRNA from 1 species
UCUGGUUGAUCCUGCCAGUAGUCAUAUGCUUGUCUCAAAGAUUAAGCCAUGCAUGUCUAAGUAUAAGCAAUUUAUACAGUGAAACUGCGAAUGGCUCAUUAAAUCAGUUAUCGUUUAUUUGAUAGUUCCUUUACUACAUGGUAUAACUGUGGUAAUUCUAGAGCUAAUACAUGCUUAAAAUCUCGACCCUUUGGAAGAGAUGUAUUUAUUAGAUAAAAAAUCAAUGUCUUCGGACUCUUUGAUGAUUCAUAAUAACUUUUCGAAUCGCAUGGCCUUGUGCUGGCGAUGGUUCAUUCAAAUUUCUGCCCUAUCAACUUUCGAUGGUAGGAUAGUGGCCUACCAUGGUUUCAACGGGUAACGGGGAAUAAGGGUUCGAUUCCGGAGAGGGAGCCUGAGAAACGGCUACCACAUCCAAGGAAGGCAGCAGGCGCGCAAAUUACCCAAUCCUAAUUCAGGGAGGUAGUGACAAUAAAUAACGAUACAGGGCCCAUUCGGGUCUUGUAAUUGGAAUGAGUACAAUGUAAAUACCUUAACGAGGAACAAUUGGAGGGCAAGUCUGGUGCCAGCAGCCGCGGUAAUUCCAGCUCCAAUAGCGUAUAUUAAAGUUGUUGCAGUUAAAAAGCUCGUAGUUGAACUUUGGGCCCGGUUGGCCGGUCCGAUUUUUUCGUGUACUGGAUUUCCAACGGGGCCUUUCCUUCUGGCUAACCUUGAGUCCUUGUGGCUCUUGGCGAACCAGGACUUUUACUUUGAAAAAAUUAGAGUGUUCAAAGCAGGCGUAUUGCUCGAAUAUAUUAGCAUGGAAUAAUAGAAUAGGACGUUUGGUUCUAUUUUGUUGGUUUCUAGGACCAUCGUAAUGAUUAAUAGGGACGGUCGGGGGCAUCAGUAUUCAAUUGUCAGAGGUGAAAUUCUUGGAUUUAUUGAAGACUAACUACUGCGAAAGCAUUUGCCAAGGACGUUUUCAUUAAUCAAGAACGAAAGUUAGGGGAUCGAAGAUGAUCAGAUACCGUCGUAGUCUUAACCAUAAACUAUGCCGACUAGGGAUCGGGUGGUGUUUUUUUUAAUGACCCACUCGGCACCUUACGAGAAAUCAAAGUCUUUGGGUUCUGGGGGGGAGUAUGGUCGCAAGGCUGAAACUUAAAGGAAUUGACGGAAGGGCACCACCAGGAGUGGAGCCUGCGGCUUAAUUUGACUCAACACGGGGGAAACUCACCAGGUCCAGACACAAUAAGGAUUGACAGAUUGAGAGCUCUUUCUUGAUUUUGUGGGUGGUGGUGCAUGGCCGUUCUUAGUUGGUGGAGUGAUUUGUCUGCUUAAUUGCGAUAACGAACGAGACCUUAACCUACUAAAUAGUGGUGCUAGCAUUUGCUGGUUAUCCACUUCUUAGAGGGACUAUCGGUUUUCAAGCCGAUGGAAGUUUGAGGCAAUAACAGGUCUGUGAUGCCCUUAGACGUUCUGGGCCGCACGCGCGCUACACUGACGGAGCCAGCGAGUCUAACCUUGGCCGAGAGGUCUUGGUAAUCUUGUGAAACUCCGUCGUGCUGGGGAUAGAGCAUUGUAAUUAUUGCUCUUCAACGAGGAAUUCCUAGUAAGCGCAAGUCAUCAGCUUGCGUUGAUUACGUCCCUGCCCUUUGUACACACCGCCCGUCGCUAGUACCGAUUGAAUGGCUUAGUGAGGCCUCAGGAUCUGCUUAGAGAAGGGGGCAACUCCAUCUCAGAGCGGAGAAUUUGGACAAACUUGGUCAUUUAGAGGAACUAAAAGUCGUAACAAGGUUUCCGUAGGUGAACCUGCGGAAG